GGCCGCUUCCGAGUCUGAGGAGCCGCUGGAGUGUCUCCCUCUACUGGAGGCUUUCCGCAGACGUCAGAGCCCGCCGCUCCGCCGGCGGGGAGGCGCGGAGGCGGAACGGCGCCCGCGCCCGGGAGGAAGCCUCCAAACCUUCCUCAGCCCAGUGGCCAUUUCUUUUGGAAGGCAUCCAAGAACUUUGCAGACAUGAUCUGAUGGCUGGUGGAAUUUCCUCUAUUUGGGGAAAAUUUAGGCCCAGAGAAGGAGCAAGAACAAGCCCCAAAGUGAGAAGAUGGAAACCAGGGUGUGAACAUUAAUCAAAUAUGAGAAACAAAGGAGACUGGCGGAACUUCAGCCUAGGAGGUCAGGAUGCUCAGGGUCCUGAUCCUAACACGAUUCACUGGACAACGCAGGCGCGUCUGUGACCCGGCUUCAACUCGAAAAUAGGAGUUACAUAUGCGCCUUUUCUCUUCUCGGCCAAACAAAAUGCUGGGAUGGGCGAGGGGCAAGAAUAGGUCUAUAGCACAAUGCCAUUUAUGUAAAGUUUUAAAAAGACACAAAGCAACACUAUGUAUGUUUCAAGGGUAAACUUCCUGAAGGUGGAUGAGAUGAACAUAUACUAUAGUGCGGGGGUCCUCAAACUUUUUAAACAGGGAGCCAGUUCACUGCCCCUCAGAUCGUUGGAGAGCUGGACUAUAAUUU